rnacentral:rRNA from 1 species
UGAAGCGGGAAAAGCUCAAAUUUAAAAUCUGGCGGUGUUUUACCGUCCGAAUUGUAUCCUAGAGAAGUGUUACCCGGACUGGACCAUGUAUAAGUCUCCUGGGAUGGAGCGUCAUAGAGGGUGAGAAUCCCGUCUUUGACAUGGACUACCAGUGCAAUUGUGGUGUGCUCUCAAAGAGUUGAGUUGUUUGGGAAUGCAGCUCUAAAUGGGUGGUAAAUUCCAUCUAAAGCUAAAUAUUGGCGAGAGACCGAUAGCGAACAAGUACCGUGAGGGAAAGAUGAAAAGAACUUUGGAAAGAGAGUUAAACAGUAUGUGAAAUUGUUGAAAGGGAAACGUUUGAAGUCAGUCAUAUUGUUCGGGGAUCAAGCUAGCAUAUUUGCUGGGUGUAGUUCCUGGGCAAUGGGCCAACAUGAGUUUUGACUGCUGGAAAAAGGGAUUGGGAAUGUGGCACCUUCGGGUGUGUUAUAGCUCAAUGUCAUAUACAGGAGUUGGGACUGAGGAAGGCAGCGUGCCGCAAGGCCGGGGUUUUAACCACGUUCGCGCUUACGAUGUUGGCAUAUAUGG